AUUCCAUGAGUUGGGCACUACUGCAAGAGGUCCUUAAAUCUUUGCCAUAACUCAUAAAUGGUCUCACCCUCCAAUUGCUUGAAGGUUAAGAUGCCAUCCCUAAGAAU